UAGGGUAGAGGCGCGGAAAUUAUUAGUAGUACUGAGGAGGUUCUAGGAAAUCAAAGAAACAGUAUAAAAGGAAUUUUCGCCGAAGUCUGUGAUUGUCCUGCAAUAACAGGCUGGGGCUGUAUCAAAUAGGUACAGGACUGUCAACAGUUGCACCCAGGCAGCUGUUGUUGAGCUAU
rnacentral:ncRNA from 1 species